rnacentral:lncRNA from 1 species
AUACAAGCCCAUAUUUGUACCUAAUUUGGAAAGCUUAAUAAAUUCAGCCUUUAGAACUCUAAUGAAAUAAAAGAAGCACACAUCAAAUUGUUAUUCUGUUAUCAUUUCAUUCAACAGAUAUUUUAAAAGUAUCUCUCCUGAGCCAUGGGUAUGGUUUCCUUGGGAAUCAAGGACAGAAAACGGUCCCUGAAUCAAUCAUCUGUGAUAGAAAAGGUGUCAUCUUAUGAAAGUACGGGUGCUUUUCCAGAAGGUGAGAAUGAAGAGACACUGUGGAAUUGGACCAAGAUAAAUAUGGUUUUGGUUUCUGAAGCAGGAGAUUCUGGGAAGGCGAUGACUGGAAAAGAGCUCUCUUCCCUCUACCACCAAAUCCUCUGUGUCUAUUCCUCCUGAGUCAAAUGGAUGCUCAUGUCUACAUGGAGUCUGUGUGCCAGUGAGCCAUUGUGUUCCACAGUGGCCAUGGUGUGGACAGCUAACGCACAAUCAUGAACUCUUGCACUAGGUGAGUCCCUGAAGCCAGAGUUCAUGUAGUAAAGCCAAGAAGAAACUGAAUCAUGCACAGAUCCCUCCUCUUCAUGUGGAAGAGAAUAGGAAGAGAAUGGGUGGAGAGGUUUUCUUGAGGUACUUCAAUAAAGAGAGGUUGAUUUGCUUGCUAUUAUUCUAGCAGUCUUUUCAGAGUAGAAGCCACAGACCUCACAUGACCCAUAUGAUCCAGCAACCCUGGUCUCAUCUCCCAUUCGUCUCUCACGUGCUUGCUUUCACUCCAGUUACACUAGACUCUUUCUGACCCUUAAAUGUCAGAGUCACACUCCCACCCCAGGAUCUUUGCAAUUAUUACACCCUCUGUCUUUCUCAAAUACUAGGCAAUAUACUUAUUUUAAAUUAUUAUAUUUGUGGACACAUUUAUAAAUUUAUUUUCUGCCUCUCCCAAGCCAUAUUUUCUUUAUCAGUCCUAGAAAAGGAAAGAGUUAAAAAAAAAAAUGAAAUGCUGUGCACAAUAGAGACAACUUUGGAAUUUAAGAAUAAAUUUAAUAAGAAA